rnacentral:rRNA from 1 species
AGAACGUGAAAUCGAUAUAAUGGAAGCGAAUGAAGUCGACGUAUCUAGUACGUAUUCAGCUUGACGUUCGUGCAAUUGAUCGAGUCUUUGGUGUUCCGUAAGGUCACCGGCUUGGUUAUUGUUGUGCGAAUGUAGAGUGCAUUUGCGUACGGAGUGCGAUGAGUCGAUUGAUGUUGUCGGUGGAAGUUGUUCGUAGAGGACAGUCGGGCUUGUUUCGGUUGUAACCUCGGACGGCGGAUACCUGAUUAAUGUCGAUCGAUUUUGUUGGAGUCUUGGCCCUUACGGUCUUUGUUUCGGCGAUUCUUGAACUUUUUGUUGGACGCAUGCGUACAAUAUUAGGUUUGGAUUUCGUUGUGAAUAAAGGCGACUAGACUCGAUUCAUCGUAUAGUCGAUCACUCAUUCGACCCGUCUUGAAACACGGACCAAGGAGUUCAUAAUACACGCGAGUCAUUGAGUGUUUUUAAAGCUCAAAGGCAUAAUGAAAGUGAAACUACGAACAGUUGAAACAUGAUUGGUAAUUGCGGUUUUUAUUAAUCGAUUGCCAAGCAAUGUUGCCCCAUUCCUGGAACAUGUUCUGGUGUGGAGGUUGASCGUGUGCAAUGAGACCCGAAAGAUGGUGAACUAUGCCUGAACAGGACRAMGCCAGAGGAAACUCUGGUGGAAGUCCRAAGCGGCUCUGACGUGCAAAUCGAUCGUAUGAUUUUGGUAUARGCGCGAAAGACUAMUCCCACUAUCUAGUAGCUGGUUCCUUCCGA